AGUUUGAUCCUGGCUCAGGAUGAACGCUAGCUACAGGCUUAACACAUGCAAGUCGAGGGGCAGCAUGGUCUUAGCUUGCUAAGGCCGAUGGCGACCGGCGCACGGGUGAGUAACACGUAUCCAACCUGCCGUCUACUCUUGGACAGCCUUCUGAAAGGAAGAUUAAUACAAGAUGGCAUCAUGAGUUCACAUGUUCACAUGAUUAAAGGUAUUCCGGUAGACGAUGGGGAUGCGUUCCAUUAGAUAGUAGGCGGGGUAACGGCCCACCUAGUCUUCGAUGGAUAGGGGUUCUGAGAGGAAGGUCCCCCACAUUGGAACUGAGACACGGUCCAAACUCCUACGGGAGGCAGCAGUGAGGAAUAUUGGUCAAUGGGCGCAGGCCUGAACCAGCCAAGUAGCGUGAAGGAUGACUGCCCUAUGGGUUGUAAACUUCUUUUAUAAAGGAAUAAAGUCGGGUAUGUAUACCCGUUUGCAUGUACUUUAUGAAUAAGGAUCGGCUAACUCCGUGCCAGCAGCCGCGGUAAUACGGAGGAUCCGAGCGUUAUCCGGAUUUAUUGGGUUUAAAGGGAGCGUAGAUGGAUGUUUAAGUCAGUUGUGAAAGUUUGCGGCUCAACCGUAAAAUUGCAGUUGAUACUGGAUAUCUUGAGUGCAGUUGAGGCAGGCGGAAUUCGUGGUGUAGCGGUGAAAUGCUUAGAUAUCACGAAGAACUCCGAUUGCGAAGGCAGCCUGCUAAGCUGCAACUGACAUUGAGGCUCGAAAGUGUGGGUAUCAAACAGGAUUAGAUACCCUGGUAGUCCACACGGUAAACGAUGAAUACUCGCUGUUUGCGAUAUACGGCAAGCGGCCAAGCGAAAGCGUUAAGUAUUCCACCUGGGGAGUACGCCGGCAACGGUGAAACUCAAAGGAAUUGACGGGGGCCCGCACAAGCGGAGGAACAUGUGGUUUAAUUCGAUGAUACGCGAGGAACCUUACCCGGGCUUAAAUUGCAGAUGAAUUACGGUGAGAGCCGUAAGCCGCAAGGCAUCUGUGAAGGUGCUGCAUGGUUGUCGUCAGCUCGUGCCGUGAGGUGUCGGCUUAAGUGCCAUAACGAGCGCAACCCUUGUUGUCAGUUACUAACAGGUUUCGCUGAGGACUCUGACAAGACUGCCAUCGUAAGAUGUGAGGAAGGUGG
rnacentral:rRNA from 1 species